GACGAACGCUGGCGGCAGGCUUAACACAUGCAAGUCGAACGCUCCGCAAGGAGAGUGGCACACGGGUGAGUAACACGUGGGAACGUACCCUUUACUACGGAACAACUCCGGGAAACUGGAGCUAAUACCGUAUGUGCCCUUUGGGGGAAAGAUUUAUCGGUAAAGGAUCGGCCCGCGUUGGAUUAGCUAGUUGGUGGGGUAAAGGCCUACCAAGGCGACGAUCCAUAGCUGGUCUGAGAGGAUGAUCAGCCACAUUGGGACUGAGACACGGCCCAAACUCCUACGGGAGGCAGCAGUGGGGAAUAUUGGACAAUGGGCGCAAGCCUGAUCCAGCCAUGCCGCGUGUGUGAUGAAGGCCUUAGGGUUGUAAAGCACUUUCACCGGAGAAGAUAAUGACGGUAUCCGGAGAAGAAGCCCCGGCUAACUUCGUGCCAGCCGCCGCCGUAA
rnacentral:rRNA from 1 species